CAACUACUCCCUCUGUCCCAAAUUUCUUGUCUUAGAUUUGUCUAGAUACGGAUGUAUCUGUGACUUAAUACAUCCGUAUCUAGAAUCUAAGACAAUAAUUUUGGGAUGGAGGGAGUACUUU
rfam:Triticum aestivum genome assembly, contig: Triticum_aestivum_CS42_TGACv1_scaffold_423854_5BS